CUCCUCUACAGUCCUGGAUGUUUUCCCACGUUUUCUCGAUACACCUGGCUUGAUUGACCAAGACUUUGCCAUGAUGUUUGGAGAGGAGGCUUCUGGCAGAUUCUUGGCAAAAUGGCCCACUUUCUUCAAACCCAGGAUCCUGGCAAACUGCAAGAAUUCUAAUGAGAAUGUUGAAGACUUGUUGUCUGGGCAUCACUCCUCAGAUGCGUCUGGCUGGGACAGUGACCUGUCAAGCAUCCUACUGCUGGUUCAC